rnacentral:rRNA from 1 species
AGAGUUUGAUCCUGGCUCAGGACGAACGCUGGCGGCGUGCUUAACACAUGCAAGUCGAGCGGUAAGGCCCUUCGGGGUACACGAGCGGCGAACGGGUGAGUAACACGUGGGUAACCUGCCCUGUACUUUGGGAUAAGCCCGGGAAACUGGGUCUAAUACCGGAUAUGACUGCGCACUGCAUGGUGUGUGGUGGAAAGUUCUGGCGGUACAGGAUGGGCCCGCGGCCUAUCAGCUUGUUGGUGGGGUGAUGGCCUACCAAGGCGACGACGGGUAGCCGGCCUGAGAGGGCGACCGGCCACACUGGGACUGAGACACGGCCCAGACUCCUACGGGAGGCAGCAGUGGGGAAUCUUGCACAAUGGGCGAAAGCCUGAUGCAGCGACGCCGCGUGAGGGAUGACGGCCUUCGGGUUGUAAACCUCUUUCGCCCGGGACGAAGCGAGAGUGACGGUACCGGGAGAAGAAGCACCGGCUAACUACGUGCCAGCAGCCGCGGUAAUACGUAGGGUGCGAGCGUUGUCCGGAAUUAUUGGGCGUAAAGAGCUCGUAGGCGGUUUGUUGCGUCGGCCGUGAAAACCUGGGGCUUAACUCCGGGCUUGCGGUCGAUACGGGCAGACUUGAGUUCGGCAGGGGAGACUGGAAUUCCUGGUGUAGCGGUGAAAUGCGCAGAUAUCAGGAGGAACACCGGUGGCGAAGGCGGGUCUCUGGGCCGAUACUGACGCUGAGGAGCGAAAGCGUGGGGAGCGAACAGGAUUAGAUACCCCAGUAGUCC